UCUCUCUCCUCUUUCCCCAGCCAUCCCACCGUAACCCUACAGUAUUUGUGAACAAUAAAAGCAAUAAUAUGUUAUUGUUCUUCCAUUUCGCGAUCUCAAGAAAAAAAGAGAGGGGUUUCGUGAUCUGCACAAAAUCAUCAAAAAAAGGCAGAGGGGCUGUUGUUGGCAGCCAUUGAAAUCCGAAGGAACUGAAAGAUCAAUCAGAAAAAAUAUUCAGAAACAAGAAGUCACUCACCAAUCAGAAAAAAUAUUCCGAAAUUAUUUACUUGAUAUCAGAGUAGUUUAUGGAAGCAAUGGAUAGAGUGUAACAAUGGAGUGUAGCAAGUAAUGGAAA